GCUGGGCCUGGUGGCGCAUGCCUGUAAUCCCAGCUACUCAGGAGGCUGAGGCGGGAGGAUGGCUUCAGCCUGGGAAGUUGAGGCUGCAGUGAGCUAUGAUCAUGCCACUGUACUCCAGCCUGGGCAACAGAGCAAGACCCUGUCUCUU
ensembl:misc_RNA Metazoa_SRP Metazoan signal recognition particle RNA